CAAUUAUUACCCGUAACCCUGCCCAUAAAAAAUGUGCACCAAAUCUUUCGAAAGAGGCGUAGGAUUCUCAAAAGGUUUCAUCUGAUGUUCAAUAUUUUGAAAAAGUAUCAUUAAACGUUGACUCAGCCGCUCACUUUGUAGCGAGUAAGGGGCGCGUUAUCUGCGGUGUUUACAGCGUUCAAUCACGCUGAUCUUUACGGGACAGCGACCACCUCGCUGAGAUAAAGCAGAGGGACCACACUGACAGUCACCGACCACACGGCGGAGCUCCUCUCCCGAAGAGACGCCUGCGGCUAUCUGUGAAGAGGAGAGAAGAGACAAGGCCAAGACGAGCGGAACAAGAGCUUAUUCUGCCUUUUCUCUCCACACGAAUUCACCAAAGCUCAGGCGGAGCAGAUUUAAUAGGACACUGAUGGGUCUUUAUCCAGGAGCUGUACUGAUGGUACAUCACGAACAUCUAAGCGUCUCUCUUAAUCAUUUACACACAUCACCAUCACAUUAUAUGAUGCGAGAGGAUCCUCUCAUAGCUCCGGUGCUUCCUGUCACUGCUGCGACUCAAAGAUGUUACACCUGUGAGCCAGUUUAAAAUGACUGUGAAAAUAACAAAAAAUUGUUUUAAUAGAAAAACUAAUAAUUAGAAACUGACAGGUAUGUAUUCAACAUCACUGGACUAGAAUAUAAAUUGAAAAACAUCUGUUGAACACAGAAAAAUGUGUUUUAAAGAAUGUGUAACUGAAGAGUUGCUGUUAACCACCGACUUUCAUAGAAUUGUUUUUUUUACAUACAAGCUGAUUAAGUUAUUUGAUAAACACUAAAGUUUCCCUUUGGCAUCAAGAAAAUCGAAGUAAACAGACAAUAUUUCAAAAGCUUUAGUUUAUUGCAGUGUCAUUCAUGAACCACAAAAUGUCUUAUAAAAUAAAAUAGUAAGCAUUAAACAAAUAGAUAGCUAAGAAAUUCAUUGUGUAAUUUCCAAACAACAGGGCCAAAUCAUUUCUUGUAAACCUUUAUUUUGGAAAAAAAAAAAAAAAAAAAAAAAAAAAAUUACACACUG